AAAUCGAAAAUGGGCUUGAAAUCUUUGGCUAACAAAGCAAAGGGUAAACGUCCGAUUGUUGAAGAGAAGAAAUCGAAGCUCAAUGUGGAGGAGCAAAUGGUUGAAGAAAUUUCUAGUGAAAAAGCUAGUGCCUCUGCCGAAGUUUGAACAGAGUUUUGAAACGAGCGCGUAUUUUCAUCUUCAUGGUUCGCUCUGUACAGCUGAAGGCUUAGUGCAUGUGGUAUUUUUGUAAAUAUUUGUAUGUGGACUGUAUAAAUGUUUAAUGGGCCGGCCCAAAGUAUUUUUGUAAUUUUUUUUUCCUUUUUUGUAUUUUUUUGUUUUUUUCCCUAAAAAAAAUCAGUAAAAUUAAUCAUCAAAUCUGUAAUUUAAUAAUAAUCUUCAUGUAUUUAUAUAUGUGGUAUAGUUUUUUUCUAAAUAAAAAAGUCUUCCAAAAUUAUUAUCAUUCCUGAAAAUUGUUGACUUGCGGAUGCAGGUCCUGGAAGGUUUUCUUGUCCUUCCAAGAAGGAUCUUCAGGAAAGCUAGCCUUCCUCCAGAAAGAAGUUCCGGCUGGUUAGUUGUUCCUCCUAGAAGGUAGUCUCGGAUAGUCGACUUAAGUUAGUUCUUUCCUAUCCCAGAAGGUCCUUCAACGAGUGCCUUGAACUGUGUUUUCGGAAACCCUUAUACGCUCCCGGAGGCACUCUUACUUAGGCUGAGAUUGAGAGAUAGAGAGAGAUAUACAACAAUCAUAUUGAGAUUGAGAAAUAGAGAGAGAAAAGAUUAAGAAGUAGAGAGAGAGAGAGAGAGAGAUACAGAAAAACGAGAGAGAAUGGGAUUGAGUUUUGUAAGAAGAAUCUUCUGUAGAUGAAAAUGAUUCUUGAGUAAGAGUAUGAGAAUUGAAACACUUUGAAAGAACUCAUCAGAAAAUCGAUCUCGACUGUUUUGUACUUGUUCUUGCUCAAUCAAUAAAGAGAAUUUGGUGUUCAAGAA